CCUACGGAGGGCAGCAGUGAGGAAUAUUGGUCAAUGGGCGGGAGCCUGAACCAGCCAAGCCGCGUGAGGGAAGAAGGUACAGCGUAUCGUAAACCUCUUUUGUCAGGGAACAAAGGCGGGGACUAGUCCCCGUAUGAGGGUACCUUAAUAAAAAGCAUCGGCUAACUCCGUGCCAGCAGCCGCGGUAAUCCGGAGGAUGCGAGCGUUAUCCGGAUUUAUUGGGUUUAAAGGGUGCGCAGGGGGCCUAUUAAUUCAGCGGUAAAAGCCCGGGGCUAAACCCCGGCGAGCCGUUGAAACUGGCGGGCUGGAGAUGGAGAGCAGUACGCGGAAUGCGCGGUGUAGCGGUGAAAUGCUUAGAUAUCGCGCAGAACCCCGAUUGCGAAGGCAGCGUACCGGCUCAACACUGACGCUGAGGCACGAAAGCGUGGGUAUCGAACAGGAUUAGAUACCCUGGUAGUC
rnacentral:rRNA from 1 species